rnacentral:rRNA from 1 species
AUUGAACGCUGGCGGCAUGCUUUACACAUGCAAGUCGAACGGUAACAGGCCGCAAGGUGCUGACGAGUGGCGAACGGGUGAGUAAUGCAUCGGAAUGUGCCCAGUCGUGGGGGAUAACGCAGCGAAAGCUGCGCUAAUACCGCAUACGAUCUCUGGAUGAAAGCGGGGGACCGUAAGGCCUCGUGCGAUUGGAGCGGCCGAUGUCAGAUUAGGUAGUUGGUGGGGUAAAGGCCCACCAAGCCAACGAUCUGUAGCUGGUCUGAGAGGACGACCAGCCACACUGGGACUGAGACACGGCCCAGACUCCUACGGGAGGCAGCAGUGGGGAAUUUUGGACAAUGGGCGCAAGCCUGAUCCAGCAAUGCCGCGUGCAGGAAGGAGGCCUUCGGGUUGUAAACUGCUUUUGUACGGAACGAAACGGCUCUCUCUAAUACAGAGGGCUAAUGACGGUGCCGUAAGAAUAAGCACCGGCUAACUACGUGCCAGCAGCCGCGGUAAAAC